AGAGUUUGAUCCUGGCUCAGGACGAACGCUGGCGGCGCGCCUAACACAUGCAAGUCGAACGAGCGAGAGAAAGCUUGCUUUCUCGAGCGAGUGGCGAACGGGUGAGUAACGCGUGAGGAACCUGCCUCAAAGAGGGGGACAACAGUUGGAAACGACUGCUAAUACCGCAUAAGCCCACGGUGCCGCAUGGCACAGGGGGAAAAGGAGCAAUCCGCUUUGAGAUGGCCUCGCGUCCGAUUAGCUAGUUGGUGAGGUAAUGGCCCACCAAGGCGACGAUCGGUAGCCGGACUGAGAGGUUGAACGGCCACAUUGGGACUGAGACACGGCCCAGACUCCUACGGGAGGCAGCAGUGGGGAAUAUUGCACAAUGGGGGAAACCCUGAUGCAGCGACGCCGCGUGGAGGAAGAAGGUCUUCGGAUUGUAAACUCCUGUUGUUGAGGAAGAUAAUGACGGUACUCAACAAGGAAGUGACGGCUAACUACGUGCCAGCAGCCGCGGUAAAACGUAGGUCACAAGCGUUGUCCGGAAUUACUGGGUGUAAAGGGAGCGCAGGCGGGAAGGCAAGUUGGAAGUGAAAUCUAUGGGCUCAACCCAUAAACUGCUUUCAAAACUGUUUUUCUUGAGUAGUGCAGAGGUAGGUGGAAUUCCCGGUGUAGCGGUGGAAUGCGUAGAUAUCGGGAGGAACACCAGUGGCGAAGGCGGCCUACUGGGCACCAACUGACGCUGAGGCUCGAAAGUGUGGGUAGCAAACAGGAUUAGAUACCCUGGUAGUCCACACCGUAAACGAUGAUUACUAGGUGUUGGAGGAUUGACCCCUUCAGUGCCGCAGUUAACACAAUAAGUAAUCCACCUGGGGAGUACGACCGCAAGGUUGAAACUCAAAGGAAUUGACGGGGGCCCGCACAAGCAGUGGAGUAUGUGGUUUAAUUCGACGCAACGCGAAGAACCUUACCAAGUCUUGACAUCCCUUGACGAACAUAGAAAUAUGUUUUCUCUUCGGAGCAAGGAGACAGGUGGUGCAUGGUUGUCGUCAGCUCGUGUCGUGAGAUGUUGGGUUAAGUCCCGCAACGAGCGCAACCCUUAUGGUCAGUUACUACGCAAGAGGACUCUGGCCAGACUGCCGUUGACAAAACGGAGGAAGGUGGGGAUGACGUCAAAUCAUCAUGCCCUUUAUGACUUGGGCUACACACGUACUACAAUGGCGUUAAACAAAGAGAAGCAAGACCGCGAGGUGGAGCAAAACUCAGAAACAACGUCCCAGUUCGGACUGCAGGCUGCAACUCGCCUGCACGAAGUCGGAAUUGCUAGUAAUCGCAGAUCAGCAUGCUGCGGUGAAUACGUUCCCGGGCCUUGUACACACCGCCCGUC
rnacentral:rRNA from 1 species